AAUGGACCCAAAGAUCCUUGUA
rnacentral:snRNA from 1 species